rnacentral:rRNA from 1 species
CCUACGGGAGGCAGCAGUGAGGAAUAUUGGUCAAUGGGCGCGAGCCUGAACCAGCCAAGUCGCGUGAGGGAGUACGGCCCUACGGGUCGUAAACCUCUUUUGCCGGGGAGCAGUGCGCAGCUCGUGAGCUGGGAGUGAGAGUACCCGGAGAAAAAGCAUCGGCUAACUCCGUGCCAGCAGCCGCGGUAAUACGGAGGAUGCGAGCGUUAUCCGGAUUUAUUGGGUUUAAAGGGUGCGUAGGCGGGCCGUUAGGCCGGCGGUAAAAUUGCGGGGCUCAACCCCUCCGCGCCGUUGAAACCGGGGGUCUUGAGUACAGGAGAAGUACGCGGAAUGCGUGGUGUAGCGGUGAAAUGCAUAGAUAUCACGCAGAACCCCGAUUGCGAAGGCAGCGUACCGGCCGGUCACUGACGCUGAGGCACGAAAGCGUGGGGAUCGAACAGGAUUAGAUACCCGUGUAGUC